UCACUUUCCAAGAGAAAAGUUCCUAUCCUUGUCUGUGACGCAUGACGGUGAGAGAUAAGCAGUGGAGGUGGAGCGUAUACUAUAUGCAAUACCGCAGACAAGAAAGUGGAAGUUAAACACAUAGCGAGCGAGCUUUCACAAUCCCUCAAUCGCUUUUCUUGAAAAUUGAACUUCCCCAACAAUGCCUACCUCUCUCCCUCUAUCUCUUCCCUUCACCGGUUUUACAUUAGUUAACAUGAUAUCAUGAGCUUGGUUCAACCAAUGGGGCAGAGUAGUUGUGCUUUGCAUUUCAAGGCUGUGACUGAAUUGAAGGAAGCAGGUCGCAUAAUCAAGAAGCUGAUCCACGAAAAGUCAAGAAUUUAGUUUAACAGAAACCAUUCCAGCACGCCGCGUUUCUUGCUUAAUCCACUAACAACUGUCACACGUUCCUGUGCAAGAAUUGAGACGGUGCAUUUUCUUUUGUUCACCGAGUCAUGAUUCUUGAAGGUCCCUUGGCUGUGUUCGCUUGAUCACCGCAUUUGACCCAAGCUAUUGUACUAUCUUUACUUGUGAAAGAAACACCAGGUUCUGAUGUCGAACAAUGCCAAGGACGCAACCACCAGCAGCCGCAAGAACUCGAUGGUGAAGUACGAAAAAUUGAAGCAAAUGGGUGCAGAGCAAAGAAUCAAAUAGCGACAAAGACAAGCAAUGAUGGUGAUCCAAAACAAAGAAGAUCAAGAUCUGAGUCCUCUCAAUGUGUCUUUGUCCUCGCUGAUUAGCUUGCCUGUUGCUGGUGAUUUGAUCUCCAUAACCAGCGGUCUCGUCAUCAUAAACGUACAUUGUCUUCCAUUUUCAUUCGUUGUUAAUUCUUGUCGAUCAACCAUCUCCACAUGACUAUCUCCUCAACUGUGUUGAUGUGCCAUAGCCGCUGCUCCCCUUGAUGAGUUCAAUGGGGAAGAGAUGGGCGACCACUUGAUCACAAUGAUUUUAGACUAGUAAAUAGCCGAGAAUAUGACAGUUACGGAUGAUGAUGAGGAAACUGUGUUUGACCCUGACAUUUGAGCAGUGGUGUUUGCUCGAUUUGAAGGGCUAUAAUCACGAAGGAGAGAGGCUUGAAGUACUUGGUAUCUUUUCAACAUAGACCAAAAUAUCUUGCGGAUUGUUUUCUCCUUGCUUUUUGUUCAACGGAGAUUUUGAUUCUCUAUGAUUUGUAGAAUUGGGCCUUUCGAAACCUUGUUUUUUAUAUGUAUGUCCUGUAUAUUUAAUCUUGCUUCUCAUCUUGGUUCUUGCAAAUUGACUUGGGUUAUUCAAUUUAUUUUGUUCAAGAAUUUAACCUCCUAUGAAUGAUUGUCGAUUUAUAAGUGUUACUCAGCUGAAGUUGUUUUGGGGAAUUGAUUGAUAUAAAAGAAUGACUGACUGUCGGACAUCAUGAAAGUAGGAUAGAGAACCUAGUUGAGUUCUUGGUUAGGUUUGGCAAAGUAGGUGUUGAGGUUGAUCUUGAUUCUAAACUCUUCGCCACAAUCACCUUUGAUGAGCUUGUUCCUGGUUUGAAAGGUGGAACUUCAGUGUCUUCUGGGACUUUCAAGCUGUGACUUUCUGUUUUGAGGUGCUUCCUGGGGUUGUUUGCUGUUAAGAAAGUGACCACCAGAACUUGUACCCCUCCUUAAUACAUGCAGAACAUUAACCAAUUGAGGGAAAAUAAUGUGUACUAGCACGUGGGUCCCUCACAAAGAAGACCGUGGAGGAAUUGUAUUCAUUGGAGAAGAUUUGACGGUGGUUCUUAUUUUGGCCUCAUGUGGGAUUGAGUUAUGUGACUGCCACAACAUUGUUAAGUAUUGUUAAGUGCCGUGUGUGAAGUGGCAUUGAUUUCAAGAAGAAUAAUAAACAAGAUAUGGGUGCAUUCAAGUUCAAAUGUCCCCUGGUGCUGUGAUAAAUCCAGAAAGUGCAUUCACGGUUCAAAUGAUUUUGGUUGUCUAAAUGCAAGGUCUAAAUUUUGGAGCUGGUCCAGCGGUCAUUGAGGGAGAGAAUGAAAGGCUUUGGUUUAACAUGGAUAUGAGUAUUUUGAAGAGAUUUUCAUGAUGAUUUGUCAGUUGAAAAUGUUGGUUUAGUUGACCAAAUUUGCUUGUAGCGAAAUAGACACAAACUCUGGUCGGACAUGAUCCUAUCUUGAUGCAAAAUAACAGGAAGGAAUGAGAUUGUCAUUGGUACUUUUGGUUAAAUAACGGAAACUACUGCACUGUUGGAAAAGGGAGGUUGCUGCUGUUCUGCCAGAAGACCUCAUCUGCAUGGAACACCAGUGUAUUAUUGUCCAGUUUUGGAAGAGCGUGAAUCAUUGACCUCAAAUAAUGGUACGACUGUUUCACUCUCUGCUGGAUUGCUAGCAGGUUUGAACUUGGAAACGGCCACAUCUGAUAGCCUCCUCCUGCACCCUGGCCAUGUGAUGUGGUCUUUGGUCCAACAUCCACAGAUUCUGAAUCUGGAAGAAAAAUAGCUAGUGGUAGUAGUUUUGAAACACUGACUGCAUGUGAAGAUCUUGAAGAAUCAGAUUGUGAAGCUCAAGCAAAUUCUGUACUCUUGCUACCUAAGAAGAUAGGACUAUCAAAAUCAAAUGAAUGUCAUAUAGUAAUGACAGAAGUCUGUCCA